UUUCAAAAUACUAUAUGACAAUCUUUUCUUUUGAUAAAUAUUAAGCGAUGUGAAUUCUUGAAUGACAAUAACAGCUGUUUUAUAAUCUUUCUAACGGCAGUGAGAACACUGUUGGGUUAUGAAAUGCUUAAAUGUAAUCUAAUCUUUGAAAUUUUCGGUCUGAACAUAGUAUAAGAUUACGAUGACUAGAUUAGAUAGAUUCAUUGCUAUAAAAUAAAUGUGUUUGUUUACAUUUUUUUCCCUUUGUAGUGUCUAAAUCAGCUGUGAUAAUGUAACAGAUUUCCAAUGCUGACAAGUAGAUGGCGCAAAAUCAGAGUCGCACAAAGACAUUUUGCGUGGAUCAGUUUGAAAUCAUUUCAAUGAAGUGAUUUGGAACUGUCAUUUUUGUAUGGCGAAAUCUGGAUAAAUUUAUAAGAUUAGUGGGAUAAACCACUCAACAGCCGAAAUCGUGUGAUUAAGUGACGGUCUGAACAUAGUAUAAGAUUACGAUGACCGCCAUUACGAAACGUCAUAGUUCCGCGUUGAGAAGAACAAGAGUGAAAAACUGUCAAAUGGCUUGCAAAUUGUAAACAGAAAAGUAAACACUUUUGUAAAUUCGUAAAAUAGUGGGCAUAAGUCUAUUCGAGUACAUACAUAUAUUUAUUUUUGUAAAUUCAGACAAUAUUUGCUCAAGUGCAUUAUACAAUGACAUCAUUCUUGAUUGAAUAAAUACUAGCGCCAUAUUCUUCAUGCCGUUUGAAAAACACAGCGCGGAAAUUAUGUGUGCUCUAGAUCAACCAAUUUUUUACGAAAUGCUAACCAACCCCUGCGUAUAGAAUGCUAUGAACUUUCACCUCAAUUGGGCAAAAAAGUUAAACUUUUGAGUUGAUAACAAAAGUUCCUCACAUUUGUGAUUUUUUUUGGUAGAUUUUUUGAUUGGUUCAUAAGAUGUUCAAUUUUCCAAAAUCGAUUACUAAACUGUCAACUGUUGUCAAAUGUGACAAAUUUCACUUAAUGAUCUUUAUCUUACAGUAAAUGCUCAUAGUUGAGGGACUUGCUUGUUGCCCACCACCAGAUAACAGUUUUUUUUUUCUGAAGAACUGCCAAACAAUGAAAUCAAAUAAAAGUCCUACUCUCAUUAGCAGUAAUGAGCUAGUGGAGUAUUCGAAGCAACGUUCCAAUCUCGGUGUUGACUGAAACUCCAGUUCUCUGAACUAGUUCUGACGAAGGUUGGGGGAUAAUUUGCAAACCUUUGGUGAUUAUAAAUCAAAUUCCCAUCACACGCUACAUAAAUAACCACUUACAAAGUUAUUUGAAGAAUGAAAUGAUGUGUAUUCCUAAGGGCUUUCCAGUUAAUGCAUCAGCUUUUGUUCCACGUUCUCGAGGAAAUGACAUUGAUUCCAUUUGCGCUUAGUACAGCAGCCUUCAAAUUCACCAAAUUUGUCUUAAAUUAGAGAAGUAAAUCACUGUCAGAAUCAAAAUUAUGCUCUUCCCAACUUGAAUGGACAGCUAGGAGGAUUGAAAGAAUAUUAUAUGACUACCGUUGGUUCUUCUGACGAAUAAUUCGAUUUUAUUUUCUUAACUAAAAAGCUCUUCACAGCCUGUAAACUUUAAGUUCUUUGUUUUUUUCAUAUUUUAAUUUAUUUAAACAUAUAUUUACAAAUUAUAUGUAUUAUGUAACUUAUAUUUUUAACGUAUAUAUAAUCAAACAAACUUCCUUCUAAUUAGUUAUUAAAUAUAAUUUACAAAAUUUUCUUA